rnacentral:lncRNA from 1 species
GUCCGUCCACCAUCUCCUAGGAUAUCUAGUCAGGCUGACCACAUUAUACAAUUCCCAUUUACAUAAUCUUUCAUUCUCCUUUUCCCUCAGUCAGCAUUAUCAAUCACAUACAAACAAGCAAAACGAUAAUUUAUGCCAACAGACAACAUACAGCAUCAAUAUCCCGGUCAUUCAAUCCAUAAUCAAUAAAAUAGUAAAAUAUGCACACGAAACUAUAAAAUGAAAACAUCGAACCUCAUGCUGCAUUUAAAACUGUAAAACAUGCCAAAUAACAGUUAACCGACAAACACACUAAACUCGGGCUCCAUUAGCGACCUUAAGCAAUUUCACACAUUCGUUGAUUCAUGAAAUACCGUUUUAUCAUUUAUUGAACUUUAAAACCGUGAAAGGAAAUAGGGUGAGGGGUCCUUACUCGUUUCGGGGUACGAACACAGUUUCACAGUGCGCUUGCAGGCUGUCCCUAAUUUUCCCUGAAUUUUUUCCGGGAAACUGAAACGCACUACAGGUACCUGCACGUGUUCUAAAAAAUCCCAAAUUAGGCCUAGGGCCCCUUUCGGCCAAUAUCGCAACUCUGGCAUGGCGGCUCCGCCGUUUGCGGCGGCGGUUCACCUCGGGUUGGCCGUUUUCGGUCGUUUCCGGCCGAAUUUGGCCACAUUCGCAUUGGUUCCUGCGAUAAAACAACCCUACGGCCCUCGGGGGGCCAAAAAUUUACGGAAAACCGAAGCUUACCGGCGGCGGUGCUCUCGGGUGCGGCGGCUCUCCGGCGAAGUUCGUGUUUUGGUGAUUCGGCUCCGAUCAACCUGUAGAGAAAAGAAUGGUGAUCACGGUGGUAUAAAAAUUGCAUUAAACGGAGGCCGGGAAGGGCCUCAUCGGAGGUAAAAACCGAGGAGGGGCGCGGCGGCGCCGCUGGCUUUUGGCCGUGUUUUUCGGCCGUUUGGCCGGGAUUUUAGCUCCGAUUUGGCCACUGGGGAAAUCAGCGUGGAAAAACGAGUCGGGGGUAUGAAAUUUACCUCGAUCGGCGGUCGAAAAUCCCUCCGGUGCGGCGGCGGGUGGCGGCGGCCGGCUUCUGGUUCGUCUUCUCCGGCGAGGGCAGGCGGCUAGGGUUUGGGGUCUGGUGUGGGGGUCUUAUUUAUACCUU